UACGAAGGGGGCUAGCGUUGCUCGGAAUCACUGGGCGUAAAGCGCACGUAGGCGGGUCUUUAAGUCAGGGGUGAAAUCCCGGAGCUCAACUCCGGAACUGCCUUUGAUACUGGAGAUCUUGAGUCCGGGAGAGGUGAGUGGAACUCCGAGUGUAGAGGUGAAAUUCGUAGAUAUUCGGAAGAACACCAGUGGCGAAGGCGGCUCACUGGCCCGGUACUGACGCUGAGGUGCGAAAGCGUGGGGAGCAAACAGGAUUAGAU
rnacentral:rRNA from 1 species